UUAAAGAAUGGAAAGUUCAAAGAUGGAAAUCGUCAGAGGCUUCCAAGAUGGCUGAAUAGGAACAGCUCCAGUCCGCAGCUCCCAGCAAGAUUGAUGCAGAAGGCGGAUGAUUUCUGCAUUUCCAACUAAGUGCCAUGACUUAAGGAGUGAAGAGAGGGCAUAGAGAACAAGCAGAGUAUGCAGGGCAUAUGCUGAGAUAAGAAACUGGAUCUGAAACAAGUUGAAUACUUGCAGAGAAUCAUGGGAACCAUUAUAACAAAGAAGUCAAGAGUGUUGGUGUGGAGUGGACCUUGGUUUGAAUACUCAGCUCUGCCACUUACUAGCUGUAGGCUCAUAUGCAAGUUACUAUCCUCAUCUGUUAAAAAGGAAUAAUAUCUAAUGUUAUAUAAAAUGUAAAAGUUAUUUCACACAAUGCCAUUCACAUAGUAAAUGUUCAAUAAAAGCAAAAACCUCAGGACAU
rnacentral:lncRNA from 1 species